rnacentral:lncRNA from 1 species
UUAGCCCAUACGUGCUGCCACAGUCAACUGCUCCACCCAUUGGGAAUCUAAAUGAGCCUCUCGGUAACCUGAACAAGGUAGCCCUGGUGCACUGCUGCGGCCAAUUGCUUCAUCUGUUGGGAGCUGAGCAAACAGCUCAGGGAGCAUGAGACUCCGGACUAGCUCACCAAAUAUUGUAACCAAACUCAGGUUCGGGACACUUGACACCUGAACAACCAAUGCUCAAGAGACAAGUGUUGGUAAGAAGGAAAGUUAGCUUUAUUAGGGAAGCAGGCAAGUUGGGAAAUUAGUGACCUUGUUUCAAGACUACCUCUCUGAAUUGUAGCUCUGGACCAAGAGUUUUUACGGGAAAUCAGGAUAAGUGGAUUCAAAAUGGAGUCAGUGCUGUUACAAUAAGAUCUUCUACUCAAUAAAGAAGCAAAAGUACUCACAGCAGAGUGGGAUUGCUGUGAGAAGGAGCCAUGUAAGUAACAACUGGCUGGCAGUGGAUAGAGGAAGAAAAAACAUCAUCAAGUUGUUGUGAUAGGAGUGGAUGAAUAGUGACCAACAUGACACCUGGAAAUCAGUAUCUAUGGAAUCCUGUAGAAGAUACCUGAAAUAUGCUUACAUUCACAAACCAGUACAACCUAAACUUGCUGGUCAGUAUCAUGUGGUCAAAGGAUCUGUCACUGGCAAUAUGCGGUACAUGAUCAAAGUUUACUUCUGCUGCAAAGAAUUGAAGAACGGUACUGUAAUUUUAAUUGAUGUAUGGCAUGUAAAACAUUGCUUUGCUUUCUGCUACAUGUGUGUUAUAACCAAAAGGUUAUAAUUUUAUUGUCAAAAUUAAAUGUAAUUCAGACUUAUGUACAGCAUGAACCAUAGAAUGAGUGAAUAUUUCUGGAAGCUUAUUUAAAGCCUCUAAUUAAUGUAAUACUUAUGAAGAGUUACUGGCUAGAAAAAGACAUUUGGCUUUUAAAAUACCACAUGCCCUAUUAUAAUCUUACAAAUAUUCAAAUGCCUAUGAAUAAAAACAAAAAAAAUUGAGCUAGAAAUACACAAUUAAAAGGCCUUAGAAGGAACACAGUUAUUAAUAAAAAUAUUACAGCAAUAACUCCUGAACCCCAUUUUAUGUUUCAAGUCCAGAUGGUCAUUGAGGUGUGAAGUAUCUUUUUUUGAAUAAAAUUUUGAGGAAAUUUUAAGACACAUUAAAAACACAACCAAGACAUAUGUGUCAAAGAGAUACUGACAGAGCUUAGAAAGUGUCUCCAGAAGAAAAGAGUUAUCCAGAGACCUAUAAUCCAUUCCGAUCAAAUCUCCUGAAAGAUAUGCUAGUAAAAGAGAUUUAAUAAAUAUACUAUUUACUAAUAGAAUGUAGAUUAUUUGACUAGAAGUUCUUAUGACAAACUUGUAAUCCAUAGAUUUUGGAGACAAGGGAAUAUAGCUUCCUGUAACAUGUCAUGAAAGCUUUGGUAUGUAAAAUAAGCUUUUUUCUUGAUGAAAAUGGCUUUCUUUUAUGUAAACAAUAAUAACAUCUAGCACUUAGGAAACUCAUAUAUCAUAUACAGCUGGACAUCACUGUUUCCUAAUGAGGCUGGAAGGAAAAUAGGAAAAAAUAUCUGUAGCUCUAGACUUGCCAUUUCACCUGUGCUUCACAACUACUUCUACUUUGAAAGUAAUAUUAAAGUUUGAUAUUGGGUAAGAUCUGAGAUUCCUGUAUCUGACUUGAUGAUAUGAUAUUUUCUGUUAUCUCAAUAUACAUACAUCUCAAUGUAUAAUUUUUUGAAAGGCAUACACGUUACCUGAAUGAUACAAGUUUCCAUUGGAGUUUUGUUUCAUUGUGUUUUGUUUUUUAUCAAGGGAAAAUAAAGAGGGAGAAAUAAACUGUCAUUACUCAAGGAGAGCAUGCACAAUACAACUUUCCAGCUCUAAUUCCAAAGUUUGAUUUCUCUUAUUUGAAGCUCGUGAUAUUUUGUUUGCUCAAAAAUGGGAAGGAUGGGGUGGUUAACAGACUUCUUGUUGGAAUUAUUUAACAGACUUAUGUAAUUUCCUGAGUCUGUUUUCUUUUCCAUGUUUCAAUUGUGUGAUGGGAAAGUGAGUCAUUUUUCUAAGGACUAAAAUACAAUAUAAGAAUAAACUUUAUAAACCCAAAGAGUUUGAAGACAAGAAUAUCUGACCAAAAAUAGACACAUUUCCCCUUCAUUGUUGUCAUCUGCAAACACCCAAGACAUUUUUCUACUUAUGAGGUUCUUGAGUCUUGGUUCACACUAUUUCUUUCUAUCCCUUUUCCUCCAUGAGAUCCAUAUCCAUAUGGAAAAUUUGCCCAUAAUUCUGGUCUCCAAAUUUGUGUAGCCCAUCAACAAAAUUAUACUUUAUUUUCCACCUUUAUCCCCCAAUCUCAUAGACAAACUUUUCAACCUGUCAGUAUAAUAAAUAGCAUAAUUUCUGAAAUAUCUAAUUCAAGUAUCCUGUGAUUUGAAACACCCUCCUAUAUUUCUUGUUCACUUAAGUGGUAACACUUUCAAAAUCUCUAUCAUUCCAAGACACUAAAAGUUUUAAAAGAAAAUGGUGCUUUCAUAGAUUUGGUGCUAAAACUCACUUUGUGGUAAAACCUGACAUGAUUGACUUCAUUCAUCACGUUUUUAUGGUCAUUAUUUUUCUUAUUUGAUGUGACUAUGCAUUUGUUCAGAGCAGAAAAAGAAUCAUAUUUAAUUAGCAGGUUCUUCUCCAAUCCUUCUUGGAGAUGUUCCAUAAAAAACUUAAUUAUUUAAGUCUAAAUCAUGCUGAAUUAUGAAACAAAUUUGGUUCCAAGGAUUUCAGACAAGUGAUUGUAUACCAGGAAUACAAUAUUUAUUUGAACUCGCCAAGACUUAAAAUCCUGCGUUCAGCUACUUUUUAUCUUAUUAUCACCAUACAUCAUCUUUCAUGCCUCCUGUUUAGAAUAACAAGUCCAUCAUUACAAGAAAAAGUUGCAAACACAAGGAAUGUUUUCUUCUCUUAUUAACAAAACAAAACAGAUAACUUGUCUGUGUUUUUCCUGGGUGCAUCUCUGCAGUUGAAAUAUCAUGACCACCAGUCCUCUUUAAAUUCAUCUCAAGAGAGGAAACCACAGACACUCAGCUUGCCUUCUAGCAAUGGUAAAUUCCUUAAGCUAAGUGUUUCCUAAUUGCUUUAUUCUCCUUUGAACUCACUCAGUUUCUCUCCUGUUGCUCAUGAUGGAUAAUCAGAUGUGCUUACCUCCACCGAUUUAUUAUCCAGCCAAUUGAAAGGCUCAAAUAGAAAAUGUCAUGCUUCUCCCCGACCAAACCAUGAAUUUUGUCUUCAGUUCCUCACUCUCAUUCAAUUUCAAUUUUUUAACAAUGCAUAAUAACCUGAAAUUCUCCUACUUACUUGUUAAUUUGACUGUUGUCUGUCUUCAUUACAGCUGGAUUAGAAACUACAAUAAAGAAAAAAAAAAAAAAAGUUUCAGCCUUAUUCCUUCUGAAGUUUCCAGGUCUAGAAUAGUUCUUGUAACAGAGUAGGUGCUUAAUUUAAUAAUAUAAUUUAACCUUAAAAUCCUGUUUUAUUACAAUCUACUUAAAGUGGACUCCUAGUUGUGGGUGAAUGAGUCUAAUUUAAAAUAAAGAGAUAAAGUUUCUUUUUUUUUUUCUGUGCCAACAAUCUUAAAAUACAAAUUUAAAACUGUGCCUUCAGUUUUGCUUCUCCUUAAAUACAAAAUUGGCGCUUGAUAAAAUAAGUUAUAUUUACUUUUCUUGGAAGCAUUUCCGUUUGAAUUAUGUUGAAUUACCUGAAUCAACAGAGCAUUUUCAAGAUAUAAAAAUUUUAAAAAAUUAGAUGUAUUUCUCAUUGCCAGAUUAAAAUUCUCUUUAUUACUUUAACACUUUAUGAGCUUGUCAGGUAUAGAAUUUGGUUCUAUCUGAUCUGAAAGUUAAUUACUGUUUAUGUGAGAAAGUUGAUUCACCUAAUAUUUCUUUGCACAAAUUUGCUAGUUUUAGAUUCGAGACUUCAAGUGUAAAAAUAAAGUCGUUAAGUACAUUAAGGACAAUAUGUUUUUCAAGGGUCCUUCCAGAUGCUUGUUUUUGUGAUUAUAUUCGUUAAAGAAGAAAGGAAAGAAACAAGAGAAGAAGAAAAAAAUGAGAAGAAAGAGGAGAAAGAAAAGAAGAGUGAGCAGGAGGAAAGACGAAGUAGGUGCUAGAGAAACUAAAGGUGCAUAGUCUCCAGCAUUAGCUUGUGUACUGUAACACCACAAUCAUGAAGUUUUAUCUCAUAGCCUCUUUAUAUACUGCUGUUGGAAUAUAUGAGCCUUUAAACACAUUUUAGAAGGUUUUGUUAGCUCCCUAGAUGCUGAAUUAAGGGCCGGCACAAUUUUGCAUUGCAUAAAACUGCCACCCAGGGCUCCAGAUCCUUCUUUUAGUGUCCUUUUCCUCAGUCAGUGUCUCACAUUUCCUGCUUAUUCCCUCUCUCCCAGUACUUGACUGUGCUUAUUACUGAUUCACACUUUAGAUUCAAAGUGGUUUUUUUUCCCAUUCUCUUAACAAAACUGUGCUUUUCUCAAUAACUGUAAGCCUUAUACUAAGAUAAAGCCUCGGAGUAAAGUUGUUCUAAUUUCUUUGACCAAGCCUGGGGAAAUGGAAGGAGAAAAUAGAAAAUUCAAAAGUUGCUCCCCCCCACCGCCCGAUAUAACCAGUUUCUUGACCAAAAAAAUAGCAAGGUUGGGAAUUCAUAUUUUUGCAUAAGAAGCUAUCAUGCAAUCAGGGAUCAUAUAGAAAGUAAGCCGUUACAACACAGAAUCGUAUCUAUUUCUUGGAACAAGAAAUAGAAGAAACUGUAAAAGGGCACUGCAGAUGGUCCCUUGUCAAUUUCUAGCUACCAACAACCACGGCAGCAAUUAUAACAUUUAAAAUAGUGAUUCCUUAUAAUUUACUCUAUCAUAGUAGUCUCCCCUGGAAGCAC